ACCACCCCACACGCGACAAAAAACUAAUGGAAAAAACUCUCGCUGGUCGGGCGCUGCCUACCCCCAUUCAUAUUCGAAACGCGAAAAGUCCCUUCAGUGGAAUUAGUAGAGUGGCGUCCUGGGUGAGUACGCGUUGUGUAACUCUACCUUCGGGUGUGGGAAUAACCCAGUGGAAACUUGUGGCUAAUACCGCAUUAUGCAGCGGCUCGACAUCGAGACAGUUGUUAAAGCAGCAAUGCGCCUGAAGAGGAGCCUGCGUCUGAUUAGCUUGUUGGUGAGGUAAUGGCUCACCAAGGCUACGAUCAGUAGCUGGUCUGAGAGGACGGCCAGCCACAAAUGGCACUGAAACACGGGCCAUACUCCUACGGGAGGCAGCAGUGGGGAAUUUUGCGCAAUGGGCGAAAGCCUGACGCAGCAACGCCGCGUUGAAGGAUGAAAUCCUUCGGGAUGUAAACUUCGCAAAGUAUUGGGAAGAAACAACAUGACGGUACCAUAUGUAAGCCCCGGCUAACUCCGUGCCAGCAGCCGCGGUAAUACGGGGGGGGCAAGCGUUGUACGGAAUUACUGGGCGUAAAGAGCGCGAAGGCGGGUCUUCAAGUCGAGUGUGAAAGCCCCAGGAGUUAAACUAUGGGAAAUUGAACCUCAGAUACUAGGUAGAGGCUAAGAAGUAGUUAGGACAGUGGGACUAACUAGCGAAAUUACCAGUAGUAGUUAGACGGAUAGAAAAUUGCCGUAAGCAUAUACCGGGAGGGAAAGAAUCCAUGAGUCUGCAACGGCCGAGGGUUAUCAUUAAGGACCCAGCGACUUGAACGGCCUUAAGAGAUUGGAGAAAAAUCCAUACAGGUGUGAGACCAAGAAAAGAGAGAACAU
rnacentral:rRNA from 1 species